UCGCAUGGUAAUAAUUAUUUUGGAACACCGUGCACACGUCUUCUUAUUGAAGUCACUGAAGUCAGUAGAAAACAAGCAUCAUUCAAUGUGUUUGGAGUGUUUCACAAAUCACACAAAUCACAAAUGUGUUUCAAUGUGUUCAGGCGUGAAAUUAUGUCUCCUGUCAAUACAAUUGCAAUAUUCCUACGUGCCGAGAACGACAUCACGACGUCGACCGAUUUUAUGUUGCGUGCCUGUACCGUCACGGACACACGCGAGGGAUAUCGUCGGGAACAGAUGAAGUCACCACCACAGCUGUAACUAACUACAAGUAAUUGAGCUCCUGUAAGUAGCUGCUUUUGUGUAACUAAUUACUGUAAACAACUACUUUCUCAGGCGCGUGUUUAACUAAUUUAAUUACUGUUAACUGUUAUGCCCUGGGGUGGAACGUUGGAACUGUGGGACGUGAAACUGUGUUCCAAAGUUUUACAUCUGGUCACCUUGAACAUGAGUAACCGGAAGUAAUUGAUAAGUAACUAUUACUGAGGUAAAAAUCAGUCUAAGUAUCUUUUCCUAUAACUUAAUUACUUCAAUUAGUUUAAUUACACAGAGUAUUUUACCGUGUGCAGGGAGUGCAGGCGAAAAUGAAUCUACUUUCUGUCACAGGGGGAGACACUUGCCUUCUGUGAUGUAGGAGCACUGAUCUCUAUGUAUAAAGGCUGGAUAGCGGAUGGGUGAGGGUAUCGCGGGAAAGGGUACGACCACCGGCCGCCAUAUUGCGGUGCUCAAAAGAGCGAUUACAGCCCAUAGGAAUGCAUGUAAGCUGUGACAAGUUUUGCUGUUUGUGAGCGCUUCCCUUGCUGCUUCGCUAAAAUUUUGCCACGGAUCGCUGCAGAAAUCCCUCGUGAUUGAGUUCCUUACGUUUUUUGUGUGAAAUCCUGUCACAUACAUGUUAUUUCCUGUCUAUUUUGUACUCGUGUGAGCGCGUGUCGUUCCAAUCUUGUACUUUGAACUACGAUUAUGUGAUUUGCUGGUUUUGUGUGGUGUUGUAUUUGUUGUGUUACGUUUCCUUUGUCGUCCGUCAGCGUGUUGCUUCCCGUGUUUCUCCCAUUUCCUUUCUGCUCGGGUGUGCGGAAUGCCAGGGAAUGUUUGGCACGUUUGUUUAUGUAAUUACCUUAAUAUGCUUGGGUAUAAACAUUAUGCUUUGCACAGAAAGUUUAGAUAUGACUGGUUAUGACACGAAAUGCCGAACGGCACUGAAGCACUUCCAAAGGACUAGAAUGAUACGUGAUAUAAAGGCUAUAUGACGGUAAAAACAUACCGACUAGAAAUAUGUGCACUGGGGAAAUAAAUGGCGGUAAAGACAGUUCAAAAUGACUAGAGGUAGAGUGAAUAAGUCAUAAAAAGGCUAAGUAGCAAGGUCUUGUGGUGAAAGUUCCAACAUCAAAGUAUCACAAGUCCAGUUGCAACAGCAAGUUUGAAGCAGUCAAGCAGCUGAGGCCUGGCUGUCACCUUCUCUGUAUAUUCUUUGGCAAGGUGGUACAGUCCGAUACUGCUGUAGCACUGGGAAACUUCUUUGAUCAGACGGAUCACAUUGUUUUCAUUUGGGCUGCAUUCAAACAUGUGUUGUCGCAAGCUUAAGCAGCGAGAAUAAAGAGUAGACAUUCGA